UCUAAGUACCUUAUAUGUAUUUUACCCAUCAUUUGCAGCUAGGGAAGAAAUACAUGUGUUCAUCCAUUCUUUGUUGAGUAACAAUUACUGGUAUGAAAACAAAUCACUCUGAGACACUUGUUGGUGUCAUGUCUAUUUGAGUAAGGAAAAGUUCUUUUCAACUGGGUGGUCAAAUUGAGAAAGCUGCUGCUACCACCAGCAAUGAUCAUGACCUGGUAUUUAAAGCAGUAAAAUGUCAAGGUGGCGGUAUAUGGCAUACAUUUUUAGUUUUAUAGAUUACAUAGAAAUCUGUUGCCUAAAACAAAUUGUAAUUUAUAAGUAGGUUCAUUUUCUGAUAGAAUUAAUGUACACUUCUUGGGAUAUCACGGUGUCCAUACUAUAAGGGGCUUAGUAGAUAUAUGAAAAAGAAACAGAACAGGACUCAACUCCUGCCUUGAGAUGUAACAUUUAGUUGGGAGUCUAAGGCUAACAAAAUAAUUAUGGUAUUAAGGGCUAGACUUAAGUGGUAUAGCACUAUAGCAUGAGCGUAUUUAAAGACAAGGUUGAGAAUAAUAUGGAAGACUUGGGGGAAGAUUAAAAAUUCAAGAAUAUGGAUCAUCUGACGAAGCAGUAGUGGAGAGAAGGAAACUCUGCUAUUAAAAGGUGCUUUAGUGCCCUUGGCAAUGUGGCUCACUUGGCUGGAGCAUCCUGCAGUAAACCAAAAUGUCACAGGUUCAAUCUUUGGUCAAGACACAUGUCUACAUUGCAGGUUUGGUUGCUGAUUGGAGCAUGUACGGGAGGCAACAAAUCUGUUUCCCUCCCUCCUCUC